rnacentral:rRNA from 1 species
UACGGAGGGUGCAAACGUUAUCCGGAUUCACUGGGUUUAAAGGGUGCGUAGGUGGGCAGUUAAGUCAGUGGUGAAAUCUCCGGGCUUAACCCGGAAACUGCCAUUGAUACUAUCUGUCUUGAAUAUCGUGGAGGUAAGCGGAAUAUGUCAUGUAGCGGUGAAAUGCUUAGAUAUGACAUAGAACACCAAUUGCGAAGGCAGCUUACUACCCGAAUAUUGACACUGAGGCACGAAAGCGUGGGGAUCAAACAGG